ensembl:piRNA 21ur-2326 ncRNA
UUAUACAGUCCGUUUGUGAAA